AUUUAAACAAAAUCUAAAAAUAAUGAGAUCGACAUUUUCAUUACUGAAAACUACUGGUGAAGAUACUGAAGGCCAUGCAUUAGUUUUAAGGCACCUGAUAUAUGGCCCAAACUGUUGUGAUAACUCUCCUUGCUGGAAGAACGGCACCUUUUCAAAAAGCAACCUCAAACUUACGGGGAACACAAUGUGUGGUCUAGGUCAUGAGGCUAACUAAAGCCUACACAAAACCACUGCAUCAAGUCCAAAACUUUUGAUGAAAGUACUGUCUGCUGGAAGUGUAAAAAUAAUCCGUGACCAUAACUAGUUCCCCAAGGCAAUCUGAUUUCAUUUUUAUAGUCAAUAACACCAGUCAGUGAAAUAUAUUUCCUCUCAAUAUGAUGUCUCUCAAUAUGACGUCCGCUUUUAAGUGUAAUUGUUUUUCCAUACUCCGAGUCAGCCUUGCCCAACGACUAUGUCUGCAUCAACCACUACUAGUAAUUCUAGUAAUGGCACAAAGUCUUCUAAGUAUCACUUAAAAACAUGUGGCUUGUGGGAUAUUAAGGAAGGGUAUAUCGUGAAUUUGUUUACGUACUGUGUAUCUGCAACAGCACAGACCAAGACAUUAUUUGCACUGCAGUUGAAAAGAAUUUUCACAAACCUUUGGCUAUUGCCAUUAGUCAUCUUUAUCCUGCAUUCUGGCCAUUCAAACUAUAGUAUAGUUUGGUGAGAAAAGUAAAACUGCAUAUUGAAGACAUGUGGAUAACAGUUUGAGACAAUUUGAUACUGUCUUCAUUGCAGUUUCUCCUUAAUACAACAUGAUCUGAAAGAGGUAGCAGUGAUGCCUCUGCUUCUAUACAGUAUGUUCGGAAAGAAUUCGUGAAAGCUUUGAAAAUGGCACAAGUUUCUGGCCCUUUGGUAACAGUUGAUGAGCAGCUUAAAAUUAUCAGAAGUGUUGAUGUAGAGACCAUGUAUCCUCUCACAGCUCAAUCAAACUUCGGUAAAAUUUGACUCAUUCUUCAUCUGGGGCACAAUACAGCUAUGAAGCUUUGUGAACCUUUCUUCAGCAAAUGGCAGAACUUAACCUGUAACUAUUUUUUACUGACACAGAGAUCUGUAACAUUUUGUGUAAAAAAAAAAAUGUAGUAGGAACAUUGAGAAAAAUUAAUUACCAGAUGAAUUCAAGGAUCCUAAAUAAAUAAAACCAGUGGAGUCAAAAUAUUUCUUUAGAAAGGAUUCAAUAUUGGUAAGCUACAAAUCUGGCUCCAAACAACAAUGAAAUAAGGACUAACAUGCAUAAUGUUGCAAUGAUGAUAAGUAUUACAAAGACUACUUGAAAAUUUCUGUUUUUACAGUUCAACUUCAAUCAAGAGUCUGCAAGAAAGUACAUAAAAAGGUGGCCUGUGAUUUUUUUUACAUUCUAGAUUAUAGUAUCAAUUGCAGAUAACAUAAUAUAAUGUUAACUGCAUGAUGACAUUUGUAGAUUCUUCCAACUUAAUACUGCCACAAGUUCAUUUGCCUCACGCUGAACGCCAUAUACAGUUGAACGUGUUGCAGACCACAUUGGAGUAAAUACUGGACUGAGAUGAUUAUACAUAUUAACAGAUGUUCCUGCCACAAUCACAGCAUAAAAAUCUUGCAACGUUUCCUAACCACUUGACAGUCAGGAAAACCUCCAAAGCUCUAUAAAGUGUACCACAUAAAAUUAAAUCAGUCAAGAUCAUACUGUUUCAGUGUGCACAGCAUGUGCUAAUACUUUUAAUUUUUAAAAAUGAAAGCUUUUUUGUUAACAGAAAAAAAUGAAUUUUUUUUCCCUUUAAUUUUGCAUUAAUUAUGGACAAAUUAAACAACUGAAGCCAAUUUUUUAGAGGAGGAUUAUAAAAAUGUAGAAAAUUUAGCUUUAUUUAGCAUCCUCUAUGUCAGGGGUCUCCAAACUUUUCAGCCCGAGGGCCGCAUUAACUAUCAAAUAUCAGUUCGGGGGCCAGAGUUUCUUUCAGAAAUCUCUUCCGGUCGCCCCUCCCCGAAGAAAAUCUUCCCUUUCUCCACCCCCACCCCCCCCACCAACGAAAUAAAAUUCAUAUAUAAAUAUAUACACAUUUCAAAUGUCGUCCACGCUGGAGAAAAAAGUCUAAAAGAAACACUGUCGGGGGCCGACAACACACUCGAGGUCGAAGUUUGUUCUCAUAUUGUUCUUCAGGUAUUUCAUUCUUGAAAACGUUUGUUCACACAGGUAGGACCUAUGUUGUUCCAAAAUUUGAAAGGUAAUUUAAUGCAAAAGUUUUAAUUUUCUGAAAGUCUUCCUUGGGCAAAAUCUUAUAAAAACCCACCUGCCCUUCAUUGAACUUGUCUCUAAGGAGGUCAUCUGCUUGCAAUUCAGCUCAUCUGGGCAACUGGCCACAUUGGAUCUGAAGACAUUUAGGUGGGCGUAUAGAUCAGAAACUAGAUUUCCCUCUCUUGUAGUUUUAGGUUCAGAAAAUUUAAAUGACUAGUUAUGUCUACAGCAGAGGGCUAUUUCUAUACCCACUCUUCAUCAGACAUUAAUGGCCGCGGUUCGCCUUUACUUUGCACAAAACUUUCCCACAACUUAGCUAUUUUACUCCUGUGUAAUAUGGUAAAUCUUGCGAUCCUGCGUUUGCAUCUUUCAACAUGUCUCUGAACUACCUAUGGUUGAGCCCAUUAAAUUCACCAUCUUCACCACAGGAUUUAGUACACAGCUAGUGUCCAUAUAUUUAGCACACAAUGCUUGGUGGCGAAUAAUACAGUGCAGGAACAUUGGUUGCAGUACAGUAUGUUUUUCUCAUUCGCUUGUCCAACCAACCAUUUCUUUAUAUGCCACUCAUGUACUUUCCUCCAUCAAUUGUCAAGUAAAUUAGUCCAUUCCUAGUUAUAAUCAGCAAAUGUUUUUAACUCAUUGAAUAUAACCUCUCAGGUAACAGUGCCAUACAUGUUAUGUAGGGAAGCCAGCUCUUGUGUUAUGUUUAGGUCUUCAUCCACACCUCUAAUGAACACAAGCAGUUGUGAGGUGGAACAGCUGUCCAGCGAAUAAUCCAUUAGAAUUUUCAAAAAUGGCGAAACUUGCUAUUUGAGCCACAAUGUUUUCACCAAUGUCUGCAACACGGCCGGCAAUAGUAUUUGCACCCAAAGCUACAUUUUCAAAUUGUUUUGAAUUUUCUGGGCAAAGUUCCUCAGCCACUACAACAAACAUUUUUUCCGAGGACAAAAAGACUCUGCGGGCCGGAUGAGAUGACCUCGGGGGCCGCAUCCGGCCCGCGGGCCGUAGUUUGGAGACCCCUGCUCUAUGUGAUCAAUUGCUGGUAAUCGUCACAGCUGUUUGAAUGUACAUGAGUCAUGUAGGUAUUAACUACAUGCUCAGAAGUUAAGAUUUGGAGGUCGCCUUGAAGAAAUAGGCGUGAAAAAUAAUGUAGGAAGUUUUAUUCUAUUUUUAAUUGUAGUUAUUAAGUUGUUUUCAAAUUAGAGUUGCUUUGCUCAAAUAUGUCUGUUUUUAUAAUCAUUGAGUAAACCAAUUUAUGAAUUACAA